UUCCAGUCCAAUAGCGUAUAUUAAAGUUGUUGCAGUUAAAAAGCUCGUAGUUGAAUUUCGGGGUUAGUAGGUUGGUCAUGCCUCCGGUAUGUACUGAUCUCACUGAUUCCUCCUUCCUUAUGAACCGUAAUGCCAUUAAUUUGGUGUUGCGGGGAAUUUGGACUGUUACUUUGAAAAAAUUAGAGUGUUUAAAGUAGGCUAACGCUUGAAUACAUUAGCAUGGAAUAAUGAAAUAGGACGUUCGAUCUUAUUUUGUUGGUUUCUAGGAUUGACGUAAUGAUUAAUAGGGAUAGUUGGGGGCAUUAGUAUUCAAUUGUCAGAGGUGAAAUUCUUGGAUUUAUUGAAGACUAACUACUGCGAAAGCAUUUGCCAAGGAUGUUUUCAUUAAUCAAGAACGAAAGUUAGGGGAUCGAAGACGAUCAGAUACCGUCGUAGUCUUAACCAUAAACUAUGCCGACUAGGGAUCGG
rnacentral:rRNA from 1 species